UACGAAGGGGGCUAGCGUUGCUCGGAAUCACUGGGCGUAAAGCGCACGUAGGCGGAUCCUUAAGUCGGGGGUGAAAUCCCGGGGCUCAACCCCGGAACUGCAUUCGAUACUGGCAGGCUAGAGACCGGAAGAGGUGGGUGGAAUACCCAGUGUAGAGGUGAAAUUCGUAGAUAUUGGGUGGAACACCGGUGGCGAAGGCGGCUCACUGGUCCGGUUCUGACGCUGAGGCGCGAAAGCGUGGGGAGCAAACAGG
rnacentral:rRNA from 1 species